CUUUCCGCGCUGUUUACCUGAAAAACAAGGGAAAUUGCGGAAUUAUUAUAUUUGCCUGAUGACUCACAACGCAGCAAUGGCGUAAGACGUAGCGAAUUAUCAAGCAGUUAGCGAGCUGCGGUUAGCAGUUUGGCCGGCAAAUGGAAUCAGAUCUGGCACCUAUUUUCAGAAGCUGUUCCCGCCAUAAAUGCGCUGUUUUCCAUCAGGAAAUACAGGCUACCGAAACAUGCGUCUCUAUGCAGACGACAACCGGGAGGUUGACGCCCCUGCGAUAAGCCACGAGGCCAUCGGUUCAUUCCGGUCAUACCCCGCUUUCACCGGCAGCUCUAUCCAUAA
rfam:Lonsdalea quercina strain ATCC 29281 genome assembly, contig: Ga0052894_scaffold00002.2